rnacentral:rRNA from 1 species
ACGGAAGGCAGCAGUCGGGAAUAUUGCGCAAUGGAGGAAACUCUGACGCAGUGACGCCGCGUAUAGGAUGAAGGUUUUCGGAUUGUAAACUAUUGUCGUUAGGGAAGAUAAAAGACAGUACCUAAGGAGGAAGCUCCGGCUAACUACGUGCCAGCAGCCGCGGUAAUACGUAGGGAGCAAGCGUUAUCCGGAUUUAUUGGGUGUAAAGGGUGCGUAGACGGGAAGACAAGUUAGUUGUGAAAUCCCUCGGCUUAACUGAGGAACUGCAACUAAAACUAUCUUUCUUGAGUGCGGGAGAGGAAAGUGGAAUUCCUAGUGUAGCGGUGAAAUGCGUAGAUAUUAGGAGGAACACCAGUGGCGAAGGCGACUUUCUGGACCGUAACUGACGUUGAGGCACGAAAGUGUGGGGAGCAAACAGGAUUAGAUACCCUGGUA